GAAUAGGCCCAAGCGACUGUUUAUCAAAAACACAGGUCUCUGCUAAACCGUAAGGUGAUGUAUAGGGGCUGACGCCUGCCCGGUGCUGGAAGGUUAAGAGGAGUGGUUAGCUUCUGCGAAGCUACGAAUCGAAGCCCCAGUAAACGGCGGCCGUAACUAUAACGGUCCUAAGGUAGCGAAAUUCCUUGUCGGGUAAGUUCCGACCCGCACGAAAGGCGUAACGAUUUGGGCACUGUCUCAACGAGAGACUCGGUGAAAUCAUAGUACCUGUGAAGAUGCAGGUUACCCGCGACAGGACAGAAAGACCCCGUGGAGCUUUGCUGUAGCCUGAUAUUGAAAUUCGGCACAGCUUGUACAGGAUAGGUAGGAGCCUUUGAAACGUGAGCGCUAGCUUACGU
rnacentral:rRNA from 1 species